GUCAACGGCCAUCCCUGAAAAUUCCAAGGUUGCAAUAGUGUCUCCAUCAGAUAGUGUCUAUUUCGCGACAAAAAAGAUGCAAGAGUUGCAAGUUAGUUCAGUGAUUAUUGCAAUUGGAAACAAACCUCAGGGGAUACUUACUUCGAAAGAUGUGCUUAUGUGAGUUGUGGCUCAAAAUCUUUCCCCCGAGCUGACUCUUGUUGAAAAGGUAAUGACACCCCACCCAGAAUGUGCAAAAUUGGAGACAACAAUCCUUGAAGCAUUGUAUAUAAUGCAUGAAGGGAAUUUUUUACAUCUUCCUGUUGUAGAUAAAG